rnacentral:rRNA from 1 species
UACAGGAGGGGCAAGCGUUGUUCGGAAUUACUGGGCGUAAAGGGCGCGUAGGUGGCCUUCUAAGUUGAACGUGAAAUCCCUGGGCUCAACCCAGGAACUGCGUCCAAGACUGGGAGGCUUGAAUCCGGGAGAGGGAUGCGGAAUUCCAGGUGUAGCGGUGAAAUGCGUAGAUAUCUGGAGGAACACCGGUGGCGAAGGCGGCAUCCUGGACCGGUAUUGACACUGAGGCGCGAAAGCCAGGGGAGCAAACGGG